CUCCUUAAUACUGAAAGCACUUUAUUAAAUAGGCUCUCUAUGACACCAUGUCAAAGAUGGACAUUUCUGUAUAUAAAAAAGUGACUAUCAAAGUUGCUUGUUGUUAGCCUGGAACACCUGCCCUUAAUCACCAUCACUGAAACACCUCUGUCCAGCUCUGCCUACUCACUUAUCAGUGCUGGGAGACACAAACAGAGUUAAACAUCACCAUCAAUUGGGAGGUAUGUGCUAAAGGUAAUAUAGUAAUAGUGUAUUUGAACCAUUGGCCUGACUGGUACAGGCAGGUAGGGUCUCUGAUUGGCCACUCCUUCUAGCUAUUUACUAAUCGUUCAUAAUAUCAAAGUUUCUGAAAAGAACUAAUAUAUUAUUGCUUGGUUUAUAUAAAUCUCCAUGUCUAAUCACAAGCAUGUGUAUCCAGGUUUAACUUCUAAAUUAAAAAUGUAAAUCUUUCAGCGAUUUUUGGAACAAAGCAGAUCCACGAAUGCGAAUGCUUCUCCCAGUGGCAUUGAAAUAUCUCAUAUUACAAUAAUACAAUGUGUAGUAUAAUGUCAAUAAACCACCAUAACCACUACAGCCUGCAGUAGUGGUUAUGGUGCCAGGAGAAACCUGGCGCCAUCCCUCGCUAUGAUGUCAAAAAAAUGUUAGCACUGACAACUGUAAAGUAAAAAAAAACAAUAUUCGCAAACAAUAUAUUAUAUCUCCCAGCACUGAGAGGUAUGAAUGCAGGACAUGCGUGGGCAAGUGACAAAGUGUGGGUCACCCAGUGGUGGAUCUGUCGGCAAAAG